UACGUAGGGGGCAAGCGUUGUCCGGAAUCAUUGGGCGUAAAGAGCGUGUAGGCGGCCAGAUAAGUCCGCUGUGAAAUCUCGAGGCUCAACUUCGAGCUGUCGGUGGAAACUGUCUGGCUAGAGUCCGGAAGAGGAGAAUGGAAUUCCUGGUGUAGCGGUGGAAUGCGCAGAUAUCAGGAAGAACACCCGUGGCGAAGGCGGCUCUCUGGGACGGUACUGACGCUGAGACGCGAAAGCGUGGGGAGCGAACAGG
rnacentral:rRNA from 1 species